rnacentral:hammerhead_ribozyme from 1 species
CGGCGAAACACCCUGAAAGGGGGUGUCCAUCGGGAGUGGUGUCCCGGUGCUGACGAUGCCAGCCAAAG